UUGAGCAGCCAUAUCACCCUGCAGCCCAAGACUGGUUGCCCACUGAAGCUAAGCAGGGCUGAGCCUGGUCAGUACCUGGAUGGGAGACCUGAGAAAACUAGGUUGCUGCUGGAA
ensembl:rRNA 5S_rRNA 5S ribosomal RNA